UAUAAUUUUGGAAAAUGGAAAUCUUAUGUCACUUCAUUCUUAAACAUUUUUGAUGUCACGUCACAGUGGACGUAACUGGAAGCCAUUUCCAGUCACAAAUGAAGGCAUUCCAUGAGUCAUUCUAACCUGCUUGUUUAAUCUCUCUGUCUUUCCAUUGCCUUCAUGAGUGCUGCACUGCCUGCACUUAAAUCUCACAUGCAAAACAUUCUUUCAUUAGUCACUAACUGUCUGCGUGUCUACCUUUCUCAUCUGCUUUAAUCUACUUGUAUGUUUGGUUAAAAUUAAGUUAAUCUGUGUUCAAAAAAAAUUAGUGACAGCAUCUCGACAGAUGGUAUUUCAUUUCCAAACCAAUGAGAUGCAUUUGUGUCCGUGAAUAAACAGCAUCGAGAAGAACAGGAAGGUGUUCUGAAGAUCAAAAUUAGUGGGUUCGCGAUAUAAUUAUUCAUUAUGUCUUUGGACAUCUGACAAUACAUCUGCUUCAUGGGAACAGAAUUUGGAUUGAUGAUAUUUGCUUUUUCAUUUCAUAUGGAGAGAUUUGGAUGAAGAUCAAAACUGCAGUUUCUGUCAUGCAUAAUUGAAGAUAAGAAGAGCCUACAACCUUUGCUAUAGCCUCACGACAUCAGCACAGCGGGUUCGCUGCGAAGAAAGCCAGGUGAUUCCACUUUAUUCAUAUAUCUGUUUACAUUAGGAUUUUAUUUCCAUAAUCCAAAAUAGAGUAGGAAUGCACUGUAGCCUAUGUUACAGACACAGGUUGUGUAAAAUGUAAUCAUUUGCGAUUUAUAUGCUUGUGCAAGGAUACCCAUAAAAGAUAAGCCCAAUAUUAUUGCUCUGUAUUCUUCGAUUGCCAAGAAUAUUUAUUUGGGCAAAGACAAAUUGGUUGUUUUCCGUUAUCCUCCUACCUCAUGACAUCCGAAAACUCUAUGUUUCACAAAUUCGUAGUUUUUGUUUGGCUAUUUGCUUCAAGGAACUACGUAAAGCGUGCUUCGUUGAGAAGUUUGCGGUUUAGCGUGACGCUUCUAUUUCUCAAUAAGAAUUUGAGACUCUUUUCUUAUGAUUAUUAAAUAAAAAUUUGUGUCUGUAAUUGUAACAGUAGAUUAGAGGGCGAUGACAUAGAAAACCUCCAGCAUGGCUUAGUGUUCUGAUCUUUUAAUUGACUGUUUUGACUUCGACUUGCAUUUAAUGCUCCUGAUUCAUUAGAAAAAGCACAGCAUAUUCAAGGCUAGCCAAAACAGCCUGCAUUAUCACACCACAGCCGUUCAAUGAACAACACCAACUUUAAAUUCCGUGAAAGAAAAUGAAGCCAGGUUUUUAUUGAUGCUGUUCAUGUCUAGUGAGCCAGAUUAACUGAAUGAACAAAUCGUUCCUUUAUAAGAGAAAUCCUGCUAAGCGAUAUGACACCGAAAACGAGAACAUAUGACACACGAGAAGAGUGUAGGAAAGGCACAAAGUCAGUUAACAUCCUAGGACCAAAACAGGCGUCGAUAAUCGAAGGGUGUGUAUGCUCUCUAGAGAGAAAAAUGAUUUAUGACAAUAUGACAAAUGUAAAAUAAAAAGCUUAGCGAAAAAUGGGGAACCUAUAAGGUGACUUGGAGAGAAGACGAAAUUUUAAUAACAGGGCGCAUUUUUAGCUAGAAGUACAGCAAAUCCAUUAGAGCAAUAAAGAAGGAGCUGCCGAAGAAUACAAGCAAUGAGCGGCCGUAGAGCAUCUCUUAAGCACAAGAAACUAAACAAAGGACACUGUAAACUCUUGCAUAACGAAAACAUUGGAGUAUUGUACGAUCAUCAGGUUAUUUUUUGACAGAAAGUUGAUGUACCGGUAUAUCGAAAAGUUUUAGAAUACGCAGAAUAAUCCCUAGAAUCGAGCAAAAACAUGAUGCUCUGCUUCUUAGAGCAAUGUAAUUUUAGAAAAUGUUCCUUUCUAGACACACCCUUCUUGAACAAUGUGCAUGUCAGCUCUUUCACUUGGGUAGGAGAGUGAAAUGUUGGGAAAAGAAACGGGCAGCUUAAAACAAAAAGUUUGGGUGUCCAGAGGACCUUUUUGAAUAAUUGACAGCAAUAUGCAAAUAUAUUCUUGCGAAGCAAACCAUGGCUUAAACCAAUUUUUGGGCAUGCUGGAAAUGGGUGUCGGUUAUGCUUGAGCAGUGGUGGAAAUUGCGGGGGCGUGGGGGCAACGUUUUGCUAAAUUGUCGGUUUUUUCGGUGAAGUAUGUCAUUUGUCGGCAAAUUUCCUUUCUUUGUGAGCACUGCCCCCCCCACACUUGAAAAAUGAAUUUCCGCCACUGGGCUUGAGCCCUAGAAAUAAGUGACGUCUUAAGUAACAUCAUCAUGUGGAAGGGUGCUUGCUUCAGUGGUUUUAUCUAGAAAAACUUUGCUUUGUUCUUUGACAAGCCAUUGCUGACUUUAGACGCAUGGAAAGGUAAAGGCGACUUGAAAACUUUGGAAAUGUCUAAAUAGAUUGAAGAGCUGAAAGCUUCCCUUAAAAAAUAUACCAAAACCAGGUGAAAUUAAAUCUUAUCUGGACACCCAAAUCUAAACAGUGAUGGGUAUUUCAAGGCUCAUAUAACUUCCCUUAGUUACAGAGCAUCUUGAAUAAAAAGAAUUAAGACAUUCCUUUUACACGAGCAGCUUGAUAAACUGUAGAUGAGACAAUGAAAUUAAUAUUUUCUUUAAUAAUUGAGAGAAUUUUACUUCAAUAAUUGUGAGGUUCUCUAGAGAUCUUGAUGCCACUCCCUUUAAAUUGCGAUUGUUGCCUUCUCGAAAGAUAUUUUUAUUUCAUUCAGAAAUCAAACGAUGCUAACAACAAAAACAAAAUAACUGCAAUGUAAAAUAUUAACAUGGUAAUAAAAAUUUUUCGAAAAAUUUAUAAUUAGGUAUCAUUCUCCAGAAGGAAAAAGCAGGAAAACGUAGAAACGACGAUGAUAGUGGCAAUUGCACAGGCUUACUCUCUUGAAUGAAAUGAAUUUUUAAUAACAAGGUUUCAUAGCAAAAGACUUAAACGUAGAAACCAGGAAAAGUGAUGAAUUGCAGAAAAUCACUGUGAAUGUGGAAGAGUAAACGUGAAAAACACCCGUACAUAAAAAUCGCUAAAAUAUCCCUCACUUGAGUAAGAUCGGCUUUCGCAAAUGAUUGGUAUAAAUAAGAUUUCAAUUAAGAUGAAAGUAGUACAUAAAAACACAAGAAGAAAGCAUCAAAAUCGGCAUACUAUCCAGACAAAAUAGAGGUAUGGUGGACAUCAAUCGCCGAUACUUAGUUGUAUAGCCAUACCAUAAACUUUGUAAGCCUACAGAUAAGAUCUGAUCAAAAGUGGGUGAAACUCACUGUUUAACAACAGAGUAGCUACAAAAUAAAAGCAUAAUUUUCUAUAAAUUGAUAAAUUAACAGCUUUUCUGUUUACCUCGGCGUAUUUCUGAACAAAGAAAUCCGUGUUUGCCUCCAGCAACAUGAGCAAAAACAGAGAUUAAAAAGAUCGACAGAACCAUAGGCCAUGUCAUAGUGAGAGAACUUUACUUGCUGUAGUACAGAUUUUUGAAUACAUAAUGAAGAAGAAAAAGGCGAACAUCUGUCCAAGAUCUGAAUCCAGUUGGGCGUGGUUGAGACUCAUUGAUUCAAAAUUGUUUCUGCUAACAAAAAUCGAGCUUGUGAUAGCGUGUUCAACGCUUCUCUGUAAUCAGUCAAACAAGAAUAAUUGCUUGGCAACAGACGUCUGGCAAUCAAAGAUACAUUGUCAUGGAAAGCGAUGCGAUGCGAUACUGUAGUGGGUAAUUUCAGAAAUCUUGUCAGGGAAGGCGAUGUUGGGUGUCAAAAAAUGUGAGAAAGGAAAGGCCCUGUGAUUUUGCGAGUGAGAAACACCAACUGUAAUGAAACAUAUCUGUGUUGUUAAAGUUGUUGGGUACCGUUCCAACUUCGAAAUUAUUUGCUUCUUUUCUAUAAAUGUCCAUUAAUUUCGCUGAUGCUUCAGCUUUAAAGUUAAUAAGAUUUUAUCCAAACGAGAUCAAGGUCCCAUGUAACUUAUCAAAAAACAAUAUUAAAUGAAGUUAAAGCCAGGUAUGUACUUAUCUCAAACGGAUUAAAAAAAUUCAUUUUGACCUGUUCAGCAUGUCAUAAAAUUUUCGAACUCAGGUAGCACAAAUCUUUAGUGUUCGUAAACAUUUUCUAGCAGAAAAAACACGGGUAUCCAUCACAAAGGCUUCAAAUACCCAAAUCAAAUACAAAAACUAAAAUUAGGCACUUUGCUCGAUUGUUGUGGAUAAUUCCCUGUCUAAUAGACUUACACGGAACAUUAUGACAUUCCACCUGCAGACAUGCAGGCACCAUUCUCCAAAAAGGGAGCGAGUUCUAUAAAGUUCCAAAGUAAUGACGUCAUAAGAACUUAUUUUAGACUUUUUGGAUUUUGAACUAAUAAACCUAAAAGAGCAUUAUGAUAAGCAUUUAAUGGUGCGAAAUCAAAUGAGUAUGUUAAAGAUUGGCAGAGAUUUGGCCACAAAAGCAUAGGUUCCACCCAAUACGUUUUUCGGGGAAUUGGCAAACUUUUGUGAACGGGAUUCGGGAAUCAAUAACACCGGGAUUCGGUAAUUGAUGGGCUGGAAUCGGGAAUUCGGCAAAAAAGUACCUGGAAUUUAGGAAUGAGGGAAACAAUUGGAUACCCUUCAUCAAAUCACUGUAACUUUAUGAACCAGGCCAGACAGUAACCCGCUAGCAAACUUUGACCAGACAGUAACCCGAAAAUCUUUUAUUGGCCAUAACUCACCUAAUUUUACACAUAUUGAAAUUAUUUUGCAUAUAAAGAACAUCUAAAAAUUUAUUUUGAUGACGUCACACUAUAUGGACUCGGAGAUAUUUCAACGAUAGUGUUGUCAUAGCGCAUGGCCAUUCCUAAAUGAGAUAUAUCAUAUCUAAAGCUAUGGCAAAGCCAAUAAUCACCACAAUCGAUUAUUGUAAAUCGAUGUUGGAGCAUUGGUUUGGUAUUUGUACAUAUAAUUUAAGCGGAAGUGCUAGGUACAAGCAUCAGCAUCCGAUUACAAACAUCUUCAUUUAGUUAAAUACCAGACAAUAUACAAAACAUAAAAAGUCUAUUAGCAUAAUACUCUUAAAGAGAUUAUGCUUGUUUUAAUUAAGUGAAGGGUGAUUAAGCGAGGGGUGGUUUGGUUAGUCGUUUCUAUAGUCAACAUGAACAAAACAAAAGUGAAGACCACUGGACAUGGCGUCGUUCUUCGGUAAUCUAUUGCGAGAGGCUUACUGACGACUCUAAAGCCUUGGCCAAACGAUUCGAUUUUUCAAUCGAUUUUUUUCUCUACAUUUUAUCUCAAAAUCGAGCGAAGUCAAGCAUGGAUGGCCAAACGAUUCGAUUUUCCACUCGAUUUUUCACUCGAUUAUUUACUCAAUCGCCAAAGCCAAAGCGCGCCAAAUCCAGAACUCUGCGAUUAAAAAUGGCGGAAAAGAAACCGAAAGCGGCUGUCAUGCUUAUCUUUAUGGAAGUUUUGGAAGACAAAGAUGAGCUGGACGAUAACCCCAGCUUCACCAGCGAUCCACUCUUUUACACAAUCAAAAUGGCUGUCUUGUCUCCUGCAAAAAUAAUUCCCGCGCGAAAACAGGUUAUUGCGCAUGCGCUUACUAGACUCACUCGUCAACGUGGCCAAACGACUCGAUUUUCAUUUGACAAAACCUUUUUCA